GAUGAACGCUGGCGGCGUGCCUAACACAUGCAAGUCGAGCGGACAGAUGAGGAUUUUGCGCCUUUGACGUUAGGGGCGGACGGGUGAGUAACACGUGUAUACCCUACCUAUAAGAGUGGGAUCAUUUCGGGAAACCGGAUAUAACACCGGAUAAGAUAUUGAACCGCGUGGUGCAUUGGAAAAAGACGGCUUUGCUGGAUCUAAUAGAGGGUUCCGCGCUGGAUUAGCUAGUUGGGAGGGUAACGGCUUACCAAGGCGACGAUGCGUAGCCGACCUGAGAGGGUGAUCGGCCACACUGGAACUGAGACACGGUCCAGACUCCUACGGGAGGCAGCAGUAGGGAAUCUUCGGCAGUGGGCGAAAGCUUGACGGAGCAACGCCGCGUGAGUGAUGAAGGUCUUCGGAUCGUAAAGCUCUGUUAUUGGGGAAGAACAGAUGUGUAAUUAACUAUGCACGUCUUGACGGUACCUAAUCAAAAAGCCCCGGCUAACUACGUG
rnacentral:rRNA from 1 species